rnacentral:rRNA from 1 species
UACGGGGGGGGGUAAGCGUUGUUCGGAAUUACUGGGCGUAAAGGGCUCGUAGGCGGCCAACUAAGUCAUACGUGAAAUCCCUCAGCUUAACUGGGGAACUGCGUCCGAUACUGGUUGGCUUGAGUUUGGGAGAGGGAUGCGGAAUUCCAGGUGUAACGGUGAAAUGCGUAGAUAUCUGGAGGAACACCGGUGGCGAAGGCGGCAUCCUGGACCAAUACUGACGCUGAGGAGCGAAAGCCAGGGGAGCAAACGGG